rfam:Gossypium raimondii Chr05_contig_200, whole genome shotgun sequence.
AAUGGGAGAAUGACAAAUCAAAUUUUUCUUCUAACUUUCAGCUUCUUUCUGUUGAAAAAAUUUAUAUUCAACUAAAAAUACUGAAAAUCAUGAGAAAAAAUCUGAUUUGUUAUUUUCUUAUU